rnacentral:rRNA from 1 species
UACGGGGGGGGUAAGCGUUGUUCGGAAUUACUGGGCGUAAAGGGCUCGUAGGCGGCCAACUAAGUCAGACGUGAAAUCCCUCAGCUUAACUGGGGAACUGCGUCUGAUACUGGAUGGCUUGGAUCCGGGAGAGGGAUGCGGAAUUCCAGGUGUAGCGGUGAAAUGCGUAGAUAUCUGGAGGAACACCUGUGGUGUAGACAGCUUACUGGACCACUUCUGACGCUGAGACACGAAAGCGUGGGUAGCAAACAGG